CGGCUCUGGACGCCCUGGUCAUCGACCCAGCAGUCCCGCCCCAGAGUCGGAACCGCCCGCGUCGGGGUCGUUGUGGGCCGGUCCGUGACCUGUCCAGGCUUCCCGCCCACCCUAAGGAGUUCGGUGCCCGGGCCCCUUUGCAGAUGGGGAAGCCGAGGCUCGGGGCUGUGUCAGCGGCAUCGCGGCUGGUGCUGGCCUCGCUGAGACUGGGUCUUCGGAAAUAGUCUGCAGGGGCCGUGUGAGUCCGGUGGGCAGCUGCGGCACCGUGUGGGCGAGGUGCUCUGGGCCUGAGACCGGGGAGGAGGGUCCCGGGAUCUGGACCGCACCGGGCAGAGGGCGCUGAGGGCGAGCUGAUGGGCUAGGACUGGGUGUCGGGUGGCAGGGGUUGCAAAGCGCCCAUGGCGGGGCCUGGUAGUCGGCUUGGGUGCCUGGCCUUUGUUCUUGAGCAGCGGGGACCUUCGGAAGGGCCGACACCGAAAGUGAUAGCCGAUUUGUGUUCUUAAAAAAAAAAAAUCACUGGCAACUGCGGUAGGAAGUGAAAGCACCUUUCGUUUUGAUGGUGUCGCUUUAAUCCUCACCGCAAGCCAGGAGGCAGGAGGCACUCCCCGCUGAAGGUGAGCUCCCUGCAGCUGAGCUCCCUGCAGCUGGUGGAGCUGACAGUCCGCUCUCAGAAGCUGUCGUUUGGUUCUCAUUCCAACAGAAUCGGGUGGAAUAAAAUGCUUUUGCUUAGCAAGACCUUUUCCAUAUUCAAUGUUUUCUUUUCAUAUUGUCCCUUGAUGGAAUGUAUUGUGGUUGUUUGUUGUGUGUUUCUUUCCACUCCAUUUAAACUUGUAAGGAGUUCGUUCUCUCUCUCUCUCUCUCUCUCUCUCUCUCUCUCUCUCUCUCGCUCUGCCCGCCCAGGGCCUUUGCACUGCUGUUGCUCUGCCUGGACCUCCUCCUCCCCUCACCUCCUUCAGGCCUGCAGAUGGCAUCCUAUGGGAUGUAACUGACCCCUGUGCACUCCGCACCCCUCGCUCUGCUCCGUUCUGCAGAGCACCUGUGGUUCAGGCCUCACAGUAGUCAAUGAAAAUAUAUUUAGAAAACACACACACUGUGGCUCAGAAGAAAGAAGCGAGGAGACGGAGAGCAGGUGCUGGCUGGGUGCUCUGUAAGAUGACCCGCUGUGGGAACUCACUGACGUUUCUCACGAGGAGGCUGGAGGGAUGGUUCCUGCGGAGAGACCACGGGCGCUACGCCGAGCGCCGUCAUAGUAUCAAUAGCGCACACUAUCAACGCGACCUAAGGCUGCUGACAGUGACUGCUCACCUGGCUGAGCUGGUGCUUGUCAGGUUCCCCACGGGUAAGUUGCUCGCCCACAUCCUUGCCAGACUGAGUGCUGCGGAAGGAAGUCUCCGUGUGCAGCCCCCACUAGAGAGCGUGGAAAGUAUCUAUGUAGGUUAUUUGGGUUCUUCUGUGUGGGAGACUUCUCCUCCCCCACGUGCUCAGUUCCUCCGUUUAUAUCAGCAUGGACUCGUCGAUAUAUAUAUUUUGUACUUUGGGUUAUAAUCCGUCACCACUUUA